CACGUAGGGCGCGAGCGUUGUCCGGAAUUAUUGGGCGUAAAGAGCUCGUAUGCGGCCUGUUGCGUCCGCUGUGAAAGCCCGGGGCUUAACCCCGGGUCGGCAGUGGAUACGGGCAGGCUAGAGGUAGGUAGGGGAGAAUGGAAUUCCCGGUGUAGCGGUGAAAUGCGCAGAUAUCGGGAGGAACACCGGUGGCGAAGGCGGUUCUCUGGGCCUUACCUGACGCUGAGGAGCGAAAGCGUGGGGAGCGAACAGG
rnacentral:rRNA from 1 species